UACGUAGGGACCGAGCGUUGUCCGGAUUCAUUGGGCGUAAAGAGCUCGUAGGCGGCCGCUCAAGUCGAAUGUGAAACCUCGAGGCUCAACCUCGAGCCUGCAUUCGAUACUGGGCGGCUAGAGUCUGGUAGGGGGAUCUGGAAUUCCUGGUGUAGCGGUGGAAUGCGCAGAUAUCAGGAGGAACACCGGUGGCGAAGGCGGGAUCCUGGGCCAGUACUGACGCUGAGGUGCGAAAGCGUGGGGAGCAAACAGG
rnacentral:rRNA from 1 species